rnacentral:lncRNA from 1 species
GAAGAUCAUCCACAUUAGGCCUGAAGUUGAAGGUGAGGUUGAGAUAGGCUGCCAAGCAGUGGAUGGAAACCCUCCCCGCCAAGAGAUAGAGAUGGUUUGGAUCAGCUCUCAGGGUUUGGUAGCAGGUGCUUGAGGAAGUGCUACUGCAGGUCACCUUUAAAAGGGACUAGCUGUCAGACAUAGGACCCACAGCACCGGCCUGCCUGAAAAUAGGGUACCUGCUUUUCUUCUUUCUUGUAGAUGAGCCCAUUAGAGUCCUCUAAUGCCUGUCAUGGGCUUGGAGAAAAAUAAGGCUUCAUUUCAUCAGUGGAACAAGAGCUUGAAGACACCUGGAUCCACAGUAGAUGAAGAGUUUGUGCCAGUGGAGAGCGUACACACCAGGUUUGGCAUUUGAGGUGGUCAUGCAGAUCUGGGAUCCAAGCUAUUUUGGAAUUGAAUCCUUACAGCCGUGAGAAAAAUCAUUAAAUGCAAAAAUGCCACUUUCAUACCUGACAUCAAGAAGCUUUUCUAAUAUCUCAAGAUGUCCUCGGCUCCUCCUGCAUCGAGUUCAUACCAAAAUGGACCCAAUUUGCAUUAAGGUAAGAAGAUUGAGACUCAGAAAUAACAAAGACUCAAUCACCAAUAGCAGUAAAAAUACUGAUGAAAGGCAAAACCACGGCAAUCUGCCCCAAACUUGGACAAGCAUGAGCUCCUCCCAUGAACCUGUCUGCACAUCUCUCUGUCCUUGCCUAUGGAGCAUUCUUGGAAGUCACUCCCUGUAACUUUAUUCCCCUAAGAGAAUUUCAAGAGGUUAUCAUCAUCAAAGCCUCAUCCAUUUGGUAGGCAAAAAUGCAAAAGCUCAGCAAAGUCUUCCUGGAUGCCCCCUUUUAUUCCCAUGACAAAGCCUAAGGUUGAUUCAGUGCUGAGCACCUGCAGACCCAGAUUCUGUAAAAUCACAUAAGACCGGGCAAAUUCCAGCCUCAGGUCUUACAGAUUCCCCUAGUGUUGGUUAGUAAAAAACAAUCAUAAAAUUUGUUAGCCAAUUGACUGGGUCCUAGUCACCAUAAAUACUUUCAACUCUGAGAACAAAGCUUCUUCACAGAGUCAAGAAAAAGAUUUAUGUAAGAAAAAAAUUUUCAGUUCCUCUAUGGACUGACAGCAUCUCAGUUGUACCCUUUCCAAGUUCCUGACCUUCAAAAUUCAUCUACUUGCCCAAAUGAAUGUUGUUUUAUGCUCUAAAUUUGUGCAAUAAUUCAUUGUACAGCCAUAGCAAAGCGGUAUUCUUCAACCUCAGUUUUCUCAUCUGUAAAAUGGAGUCUUUGUUGAUACAUGUCUAGUAAAUGAUUUAUGAACAAUAAAUGAUUCUUUUGCACUUGCUACACUGUAAGCACUCAAAUACCAGAGAUCACGUUUGCUUGUUUUACUUAAUGGAAUAAC